rnacentral:rRNA from 1 species
ACACGUAGGGCGCAAGCGUUGUCCGGAUUUAUUGGGCGUAAAGGGCUCGUAGGCGGUUUCGUAAGUCGGGUGUGAAAACUCAGGGCUCAACCCUGAGACGCCACUCGAUACUGCGAUGACUUGAGUCCGGUAGGGGAGCAGGGAAUUCCUGGUGUAGCGGUGAAAUGCGCAGAUAUCAGGAGGAACACCAUUAGCGAAGGCGCUGCUCUGGGCCGGUACUGACGCUGAGGAGCGAAAGCAUGGGGAGCAAACAGGAUUAGAUACCCUAGUAGUCC